CACUAAAUACCUAUAUAAAUAAGUUUUGGUCUUUUAAACCAUAAAAAGUAACAUUUACUUUUAGUGA
rnacentral:tRNA from 1 species